rnacentral:rRNA from 1 species
GGUUGUUGCCGGGGUAACAGCCCACCAAGCCGACGAUCGGUACGGGCAGUGAGAGCUGUAGCCCGGAGAUGGGACUGAGACAAGGCCCCAGGCCCUACGGGGCGCAGCAGGCGCGAAACCUUCACAAUGCACGAAAGUGUGAUGAGGGUACUCCGAGUGCGCAUACAUUUGUAUGUGCUUUUCUGCAGCGUAAAUAGUUGCAGGAAUAAGGGCUGGGCAAGACCGGUGCCAGCCGCCGCGGUAACACCGGCAGCCCUAGUGGUGGCCGCUUUUAUUGGGCCUAAAGCGUCCGUAGCCGGAUAGGCAAGUCUUUGGGUAAAUCCUACGUCUUAAGCGUGGGAAUUCUAAAGAUACUACCUGUCUUGAGGCCGGGAGAGGCUAGAGGUACUCCUGGGGUAGGGGUAAAAUCCUAUAAUCCUGGGGGGACCACCGAUGGCGAAGGCAUCUAGCUGGAACGGGCCUGACGGUGAGGGACGAAACCCAGGGGAGCGAGCCGGAUUAGAUACCCGGGUAGUCCUGGGCGUAAAUGAUGUGGGCUUGGUGUGAGCGCAUCGACGAGGUGCGUUUGUGCCGUAGGGAAGCCGUUAAGCCCACCGCCUGGGGAGUACGGUCGCAAGGCUGAAACUUAAAGGAAUUGGCGGGGGAGCACUACAAGGGGUGGAGGCUGCGGUUUAAUUGGAUUCAACGCCGGG